UACGGAGGGGGCUAGCGUUGUUCGGAAUUACUGGGCGUAAAGCGCACGUAGGCGGCUUUGUAAGUUAGAGGUGAAAGCCCAGGGCUUAACCCUGGAAUUGCCUUUAAGACUGCAUCGCUAGAAUUGUGGAGAGGUAAGUGGAAUUCCGAGUGUAGAGGUGAAAUUCGUAGAUAUCGGGAGGAACACCAGUGGCGAAGGCGGCGACCUGGGCCAAUAUUGACGCUGAGGUGCGAAAGCGUGGGAGGCAAACAGGAUUGAGAC
rnacentral:rRNA from 1 species